rnacentral:rRNA from 1 species
UGAGGAAUAUUGGUCAAUGGACGAGAGUCUGAACCAGCCAAGUAGCGUGAAGGAUGACUGCCCUAUGGGUUGUAAACUUCUUUUAUACGGGAAUAAAGUGGAGUAUGCAUACUCCUUUGUAUGUACCGUAUGAAUAAGGAUCGGCUAACUCCGUGCCAGCAGCCGCGGUAAUACGGAGGAUCCGAGCGUUAUCCGGAUUUAUUGGGUUUAAAGGGAGCGUAGGCGGGUGCUUAAGUCAGUUGUGAAAGUUUGCGGCUCAACCGUAAAAUUGCAGUUGAGACUGGGCGCCUUGAGUGCAGCAUAGGUAGGCGGAAUUCGUGGUGUAGCGGUGAAAUGCUUAGAUAUCACGAAGAACUCCGAGUGCGAAGGCAGCUUACUGGACUGUAACUGACGCUGAUGCUCGAAAGUGUGGGUAUCAAACA